AUUGAACGCUGGCGGCAGGCCUAACACAUGCAAGUCGAACGGUAACAGGAAGCAGCUUGCUUCUUCGCUGACGAGUGGCGGACGGGUGAGUAAUGUCUGGGAAGCUGCCUGAUGGAGGGGGAUAACUACUGGAAACGGUAGCUAAUACCGCAUAAUGUCGCAAGACCAAAGAGGGGGACCUUCGGGCCUCUUGCCAUCGGAUGUGCCCAGAUGGGAUUAGCUUGUUGGUGGGGUAACGGCUCACCAAGGCGACGAUCCCUAGCUGGUCUGAGAGGAUGACCAGCCACACUGGAACUGAGACACGGUCCAGACUCCUACGGGAGGCAGCAGUGGGGAAUAUUGCACAAUGGGCGCAAGCCUGAUGCAGCCAUGCCGCGUGUAUGAAGAAGGCCUUCGGGUUGUAAAGUACUUUCAGCGGGGAGGAAGGGAGUAAAGUUAAUACCUUUGCUCAUUGACGUUACCCGCAGAAGAAGCACCGGCUAACUCCGUG
rnacentral:rRNA from 1 species